GACGAACGCUGGCGGCGCGCCUAACACAUGCAAGUCGAACGGAGAAAAGAAGAGCUUGCUUUUCUUUUCUUAGUGGCGGACGGGUGAGUAACACGUGAGCAACCUGCCUUUCAGAGGGGGAUAACGUUUGGAAACGAACGCUAAUACCGCAUGAAAUCCCCGGGGGACAUCCCCUGGGGAUCAAAGGAGCAAUCCGCUGAAAGAUGGGCUCGCGUCCGAUUAGAUAGUUGGCGGGGUAACGGCCCACCAAGUCGACGAUCGGUAGCCGGACUGAGAGGUUGAACGGCCACAUUGGGACUGAGACACGGCCCAG
rnacentral:rRNA from 1 species